rnacentral:rRNA from 1 species
UGGGGAAUAUUGGACAAUGGGCGCAAGCCUGAUCCAGCAAUGCCGCGUGAGUGAUGAAGGCCUUAGGGUUGUAAAGCUCUUUCGCACGCGACGAUGAUGACGGUAGCGUGAGAAGAAGCCCCGGCUAACUUCGUGCCAGCAGCCGCGGUAAUACGAAGGGGGCUAGCGUUGUUCGGAAUUACUGGGCGUAAAGGGCGCGUAGGCGGCCUGUUUAGUCAGAAGUGAAAGCCCCGGGCUCAACCUGGGAAUAGCUUUUGAUACUGGCAGGCUUGAGUUCCGGAGAGGAUGGUGGAAUUCCCAGUGUAGAGGUGAAAUUCGUAGAUAUUGGGAAGAACACCGGUGGCGAAGGCGGCCAUCUGGACGGACACUGACGCUGAGGCGCGAAAGCGUGGGGAGCAAAACAGGAUUAGAUACCCUGGUAGUCCACGCCGUAAACGAUGAAUGCUAGACGUCGGGGUGCAUGCACUUCGGUGUCGCCGCUAACGCAUUAAGCAUUCCGCCUGGGGAGUACGGCCGCAAGGUUAAAACUUAAAUGAAUUGAC